rnacentral:rRNA from 1 species
AUUGAACGCUGGCGGCAGGCCUAACACAUGCAAGUCGGACGGUAGCACAGAGAGCUUGCUCUUGGGUGACGAGUGGCGGACGGGUGAGUAAUGUCUGGGGAUCUGCCCGAUAGAGGGGGAUAACCACUGGAAACGGUGGCUAAUACCGCAUAACGCCGCAAGACCAAAGAGGGGGACCUUCGGGCCUCUCACUAUCGGAUGAACCCAGAUGGGAUUAGCUAGUAGGCGGGGUAAUGGCCCACCUAGGCGACGAUCCCUAGCUGGUCUGAGAGGCAGACCAGCCACACUGGAACUGAGACACGGUCCAGACGCCUACGGGAGGCAGCAGGGGGGAAUAUUGCACAAUGGGCGCAAGCCUGAUGCAGCCAUGCCGCGUGUAUGAAGGAGGCCUUCGGGUUGUAAAGUACUUUCAGCGGGGAGGAAGGCGGUGCGGUUAAUAACCGUACCGAUUGACGUUACCCGCAGAAGAAGCACCGGCUAACUCCGUGCCAGCAGCCGCCGUAA